UACGUAGGGUGCAAGCGUUGUCCGGAAUUAUUGGGCGUAAAGAGCUCGUAGGCGGUCUGUCGCGUCUGCUGUGAAAACUCGGGGCUUAACCCCGGGCCUGCAGUGGGUACGGGCAGACUAGAGCGCGGUAGGGGAGUCUGGAAUUCCUGGUGUAGCGGUGAAAUGCGCAGAUAUCAGGAGGAACACCGGUGGCGAAGGCGGGACUCUGGGCCGAUACUGACGCUGAGGAGCGAAAGCGUGGGGAGCGAACAGG
rnacentral:rRNA from 1 species